rfam:Rattus norvegicus chromosome 2, whole genome shotgun sequence.
GGAUGUGAGGGCGAUCUGGCUGCAACAUCUGUCACCCCAUUGAUCGCCAGGGUUGAUUCGGCUGAUCUGGCUGGCUAGGCAGGUAUCCCCUUCCUCCCUCACCGCUCCAUGUGCGUCCCUCCGGAAGCUGCGCGCUCGGUCGAAGAGGACGACCUUCCCCGAAUAGAGGAGGACCGGUCUUCGGUCAAGGGUAUACGAGUAGCUGCGCUCCCCUGCUAGAACCUCCAAACAAGCUCUCAAGGAACAGAGUGCUGUGGUUUUGUGUAGUGUGUGUGCGC